CGAGCCAAUCGGCUGCACGUGGAGGGCUCGCCGGGGCGGCUGGUCCCGCCCCUCCUCGCCUGAGCGCUGUGAGUGGCGGCGAGCACGGCCAAUGGCGGCGCAGCGCUGGAGACUGGCAGGCCAAUGGGAGCGCGGGUGAGGGGCGCUUGGUUAGGUUGCGCGAGUGCUGGCUGCGCGCGCGUUCUCCUCCGCGCCGCUGAGGGGUGAGCAGGCCACCGUCCGCCGCGGGGCCGGGGUCCGCCGCCAGGUGGGGAAGAUGCAGGGCAACAAGGGCUUCAACAUGGAGAAGCAGAACCACGCUCCGCGGAAGCAGCACCAGCACCAGCCGCACCCGCCACCGUCCAUCCCCGCCAACGGGCAGCAGGCCAACAGCCAGAGUGAGUCCCGGGCCCGCCGCGCCGGGCCGCCCGGCCCUGCUUUGGCAUUUAUCCCCCCAACUGUAGAGCAGCUGUGUACCUUAUUCCCCUCAGAUGAAGGCCUGACUAUUGACCUGAAGAACUUCCGGAAACCUGGUGAAAAGACAUUCACCCAGAGAAGCCGCCUGUUUGUGGGGAAUCUGCCCCCUGAUAUUACAGAGGAAGAGAUGAGAAAGUUAUUUGAGAAGUAUGGCAAGGCAGGUGAAGUCUUCAUCCACAAGGACAAAGGCUUUGGCUUUAUCAGGCUGGAAACUCGCACUCUGGCAGAGAUUGCAAAGGUGGAACUAGACAACAUGCCUCUACGUGGGAAGCAGCUAAGAGUGCGUUUUGCAUGCCACAGCGCAUCACUGACAGUCAGGAACCUGCCUCAGUUUGUGUCCAAUGAGCUCCUGGAGGAAGCCUUCUCAGUGUUUGGCCAGGUGGAAAGGGCUGUGGUUAUUGUGGAUGACAGAGGACGAUCCUCUGGGAAAGGCAUUGUGGAGUUCUCAGGGAAGCCUGCUGCUAGGAAAGCCCUGGAUAGAUGUAGUGAUGGGUCUUUCCUGCUAACUACAUUCCCUCGCCCUGUCACUGUGGAGCCCAUGGAUCAGUAUGAUGAUGAAGAGGGACUACCAGAGAAACUAGUCAUUAAAAACCAGCAAUAUCACAAGGAGCGUGAGCAGCCUCCUCGAUUUGCACAGCCUGGCAGCUUUGAAUACGAAUAUGCCAUGCGCUGGAAGGCUCUAAUAGAAAUGGAGAAGCAGCAGCAAGAGCAAGUAGACCGCAACAUCAAGGAAGCUCGAGAGAAGUUGGAAAUGGAAAUGGAAGCAGCUCGCCAUGAGCACCAAGUUAUGCUCAUGCGGCAAGAUUUAAUGAGACGCCAGGAAGAGCUGAGGAGAAUGGAGGAAUUGCAUAACCAAGAAGUACAAAAACGUAAACAGUUGGAACUCAGGCAAGAGGAAGAACGCAGACGCCGUGAGGAGGAAAUGAGAAGGCAGCAAGAAGAGAUGAUGAGACGCCAGCAGGAAGGCUUUAAAGGGAAUUUUGCUGAUGCGCCUGAAUUUUUGUCGUUUGAAAUGAGUGUCUCUUUUUCCAGAGAGAGCCACCAGACAUGCGGAUGGGACAGAUGGGUAUGGGAGGUACCAUUGGCAUGAACAAUAGAGGAGCCAUGGGUGGUACCAACGUCCCAGCUGCCGCACCUCCUGCAACUGGUCCUGGAGCUAUGAUACCUGAUGGAGCCAUGGGAAUGACUCCACCACCGCCUGCAGACCGCUUUGGCCAGAGUGGCGCGAUGGAGGGCCUUGGAGCGAUGGGAGGGAAUCCACCUGCCUUCAACAGAGGAAAUCCAGGGGCUGAUUUUGGCUCUAACAAGCGUCGCAGAUACUAACAGGAUUAAGCUACUCCCUGCACACGCCCCAAAAAGGAAAGGAAUCUUGGCAGGCCACGCAGGGCUCAACUCGAGGGGGGAGGGUGAUGAUAUUAAAAAUAGUUAAUUAGGGCCUGUUUUGGUAAAGCCACUCUAGGCCAAGGGGAGUGCAGUCUGACUGGUAAAGGUUUUAGAAGAAUUCAUGUGGUGCAUUCCUAUAAUUUCAAUGUGAAAAAUGGAUUCUGGGAGGCUGCCGUGGUUGUUGAGCCAGUAAAAUCCAGCAAGGACCCUCAUGCCUUGACCAUUCCAGGUUUCCUGUUUGCAGCUGGAGUCCUGAGACUAAACUAGAUAAAAAUUGCAAUGUCUUGGCAUUUUUUUAGUGUAGUGGACCUUGCUGAAGAGCACAGGGAAGUCUCUGGAGAAUUAGGGCAGCAUCUGGGUACUUUGCAGCUCCCAUGAUUCUGUAAAUUGAUAUAGCUCCAAAUGAUCCAUCAUGUAGUUAAUUGGGGGAGAUUUUAUGUUCGGGGUUAUUUUGGUUUUGUUCUGUUUAUUUUUCUUCUAACUUGUAGUUAUUCCUUUAUCUGGACCAUCUGUUUCUUUAAAGUAGUUGACUGUCAUGUGCAGUCGGAAUGGCUGUGGGAGGCUCUUCUUUGGAUGGAUUUUUUUUUUUAUAACGUGUUGUAUCGCUGUUUAUUUUUACUGGUAGUAAAGUACAAUCUAUUGGACAAAGAUACUGUAUCUCUUGCUGAAGAUUUAACUGCAACAAAUGUUUGUAUAAUCUUUACCUUGCCUGUCUUUUGUGUAGUACUACAAGAUUUUUCAUUUAGUGUAAACUGUUUGAACACAAGCUGUAAUUGUUCCACUAACAAGUUUGAGUUUGUCUGAGGAAUGUUACAGGAAUGCAUUAUUAAAGUGGAUUUUAAGCCUUUUUUA